GACGAACGCUGGCGGCGUGCUUAACACAUGCAAGUCGAACGGAAAGGCCCUGCUUUUGUGGGGUGCUCGAGUGGCGAACGGGUGAGUAACACGUGAGUAACCUGCCCUUGACUUUGGGAUAACUUCAGGAAACUGGGGCUAAUACCGGAUAGGAGCUCCUGCUGCAUGGUGGGGGUUGGAAAGUUUCGGCGGUUGGGGAUGGACUCGCGGCUUAUCAGCUUGUUGGUGGGGUAGUGGCUUACCAAGGCUUUGACGGGUAGCCGGCCUGAGAGGGUGACCGGCCACAUUGGGACUGAGAGACGGCCCAGACGCCUACGGGAGGCAGCAGUGGGGAAUAUUGCACAAUGGGCGGAAGCCUGAUGCAGCAACGCCGCGGGCGGGAUGACGGCCUUCGGGGUGUAAACCGCUUUCGCCUGUGACGAAGCGGGAGUGACGGUAAUGGGUAAAGAAGCACCGGCUAACUACGUG
rnacentral:rRNA from 1 species